AGAGUUUGAUCAUGGCUCAGAGUGAACGCUGGCGGCAGGCCUAAUACAUGCAAGUCGAACGGCAGCACAGUGGAGCUUGCUCCAUGGGUGGCGAGUGGCGGACGGGUGAGGAAUACAUGGGAAUCUGCCCAGUCGUGGGGAUAACGUAGGGAAACUUACGCUAAUACCGCAUGCGCCCUUCGGGGGAAAGCCGGGGACCGUAAGGCCUGGCGCGAUUGGAUGAGCCCAUGUCGGAUUAGCUAGUUGGCGGGGUAACGGCCCACCAAGGCGACGAUCCGUAGCUGGUCUGAGAGGAUGAUCAGCCACACUGGAACUGAGACACGGUCCAGACUCCUACGGGAGGCAGCAGUAGGGAAUAUUGGACAAUGGGCGCAAGCCUGAUCCAGCCAUGCCGCGUGAGUGAAGAAGGCCCUCGGGUUGUAAAGCUCUUUUGUCCGGAAAGAAAAGCACUGGGUUAAUACCCCGGUGUCCUGACGGUACCGGAAGAAUAAGCACCGGCUAACUUCGUG
rnacentral:rRNA from 1 species